CCAAUGUGAACGUUACAAACUGUUGCCUCGGCGGGAUCUCUGCCCCGGGUGCGUCGCAGCCCCGGACCAAGGCGCCCGCCGGAGGACCAACCAAAACUCUUAUUGUAUACCCCCUCGCGGGUUUUUUACUAUCUGAGCCAUCUCGGCGCCCCUCGUGGGCGUUUCGAAAAUGAAUCAAAACUUUCAACAACGGAUCUCUUGGUUCUGGCAUCGAUGAAGAACGCAGCGAAAUGCGAUAAGUAAUGUGAAUUGCAGAAUUCAGUGAAUCAUCGAAUCUUUGAACGCACAUUGCGCCCGCCAGUAUUCUGGCGGGCAUGCCUGUCCGAGCGUCAUUUCAACCCUCGAACCCCUCCGGGGGGUCGGCGUUGGGGAUCGGCCCUUUACGGGGCCGGCCCCGAAAUACAGUGGCGGUCUCGCCGCAGCCUCUCCUGCGCAGUAGUUUGCACACUCGCAUCGGGAGCGCGGCGCGUCCACAGCCGUUAAACACCCCAAACUUCUGAAAUGUUGACCUCGGAUCAGGUAGGAAUACCCGCUGAACUUAAGCAUAUCAAUAAGCGGA
rnacentral:rRNA from 1 species